AUCCCGACAAAAGAUCGUUUAGUAUUAAAUGCCCUUGCUGAGACUGAAGACUGCAUUGUUCCCGGUCGAUCAAUGAAUCUUCACGCUUUUCAAAAAGUGGCAGAAGUCGCUUCCAAUGCAUUUUUGUCUUCCACAACUCGGAAAACAAAUUCCAUGGAAAAAGUAUAUUGGGACCUUGUCUUGUCGAGGACAAAGCAUGUCUGUGUAAACGCAGCUUCCAUAGACACGGGUGCCGCAGAUUAUGGGUUCCCAAAUAAUGAUUCCACCGACCAUUAUAGUAGACAUCCUUGGAACUUGAAGUGUAUCGGUAGGGAGAUACAGAACAUGUUAAGUUUCCUGGGUCCCGUGGUUGGAAUGACUGCGCCCACAUUACAUCUGGGAAUGCUGUUCUCGACGAGUUGCUGGCACAGAGACCCUCAUGGCCUCCCAUGGAUUGGGUAUAUGCAUUGUGCACGAUAGAAGUAUAUUUAAGAAGUUGCAUAUUAAACGUUGUUGCGGGGGUGCGGUGCGUGCGGGGCGCGACAAGUUGCACGACCGGUUUUGUAGUAAAUUUUGUUCACUUCUUCUCUUCGGCGCUGGACUUCGUGUCGUCCCCCCGUUCGCUCAGCUACUGCACGACAUUGAACAUUAA